GACGAACGCUGGCGGCGUGCUUAACACAUGCAAGUCGAACGGAAAGGCCCUGCUUUUGUGGGGUGCUCGAGUGGCGAACGGGUGAGUAACACGUGAGUAACCUGCCCUUGACUUUGGGAUAACUUCAGGAAACUGGGGCUAAUACCGGAUAGGAGCUCCUGCUGCAUGGUGGGGGUUGGAAAGUUUCGGCGGUUGGGGAUGGACUCGCGGCUUAUCAGCUUGUUGGUGGGGUAGUGGCUUACCAAGGCUUUGACGGGUAGCCGGCCUGAGAGGGUGUCCGGCCACAUUGGGACUGAGAUACGGCCCAGACUCCUACGGGAGGCAGCAGUGGGGAAUAUUGCACAAUGGGCGGAAGCCUGAUGCAGCAACGCCGCGUGCGGGAUGACGGCCUUCGGGUUUUAAACCGCUUUCGCCUGUGACGAAGCGUGAGUGACGGUAAUGGGUAAAGAAGCACCGGCUAACUACGUG
rnacentral:rRNA from 1 species